rnacentral:rRNA from 1 species
GAUGAACGCUGGCGGCGUGCCUAAUACAUGCAAGUCGAGCGAACGGACGAGAAGCUUGCUUCUCUGAUGUUAGCGGCGGACGGGUGAGUAACACGUGGAUAACCUACCUAUAAGACUGGGAUAACUUCGGGAAACCGGAGCUAAUACCGGAUAAUAUUUUGAACCGCAUGGUUCAAAAGUGAAAGACGGUCUUGCUGUCACUUAUAGAUGGAUCCGCGCUGCAUUAGCUAGUUGGUAAGGUAACGGCUUACCAAGGCAACGAUGCAUAGCCGACCUGAGAGGGGGGUCGGCCACACUUGAACCUAAGAACCGUCCAGGCCCCUACGGGAGGGCGCAGUAGGGGAUCUUCCGGAAUUGGGGGAAACCUUGCGGAGGAAACGCGCGGGGGGUGAUGAAGGUCUCGGAUCGUAAAACUCUGUUAUUAGGGAAGAACAUAUGUGUAAGUAACUGUGCACAUCUUGACGGUACCUAAUCAGAAAGCCACGGCUAACUACGUG